rnacentral:rRNA from 1 species
CUACGGGAGGCAGCAGUGAGGAAUAUUGGGCAAUGGGGGAAACCCUGAACCAGCCAUGCCGCGUGCAGGAAGACGGCCUUCUGGGUUGUAAACUGCUUUUAUCUGGGGAUAAAAAGCUCAUGCGUGAGUAAUUGAAGGUACCAGAUGAAUAAGCACCGGCUAACUACGUGCCAGCAGCCGCGGUAAUACGUAGGGUGCAAGCGUUGUCCGGAUUUAUUGGGUUUAAAGGGUGCGUAGGCGGCCUGUUAAGUCAGUGGUGAAAUCCAACAGCUCAACUGUUGAUGUGCCAAUGAUACUGAUGGGCUUGAGUACAGACGAGGUAGGCGGAAUUGACAGUGUAGCGGUGAAAUGCAUAGAUAUUGUCAAGAACACCGAUAGCGAAGGCAGCUUGCUAGCCUGUAACUGACGCUGAUGCACGAAAGUGUGGGGAUCAAACAGGAUUAGAUACCCCAGUAGUCC